GGAUGUAGCCACCAUGACGUUACGAAGCCUUAGGCGGAACUUUUUCAGUGUUUUGAAACUCGAUGCGACAACUGAUCAAUCAGAACUUGUUAGCCAGUGAGUAUACCCUGGAUAAUUCUCCUUUCUGACAAUUAACAAAGUGGACCUGACGGUUUAUUUGAUAUGACCUGAAACUCUGAGCUAUAUUUUUCCAUAGGCUUCUCUAGGGCCAGAAGUCCUUUUGCAGCCAGAGAAGUCACCUCCUGGUGCCCUUUAAAAAAAUGUAUCUUGAAGGCACUUCCAUGCUGGCUUCAGUUUUCAGGCCUGGAAGCUACACCCAUUUUUUCAUUGUCUAUGCUAGCAUACAGAAGCCCAUUUUGAAGAUAUAAUAAUUCUGUCUUGUAAAUCAAUGGUUUUAGUCCAUCAGCUGGUGAGAUAUCUACUUGAAAAAGUCAUGAAAACAUACAUUAAAUUAUUGGCUUAAUCUUCUGCAAUAGCUUUGAUUUUUUUUAUUAGUAUCAGCCUUAAAAAAUGCCAGUCAUAUCAGUAGGUUUGCGUUACAAACACAACCAUUUUAGCUCAAAGAUUAGAGCUUUCACAAAGCCUCGAACUCCGGGGAAGCAGAGCCGCCAUUGGGUGACAGGGUCUUGUUAUAAUGAUAGACAUAUGACAAUGUUGGAAAUACAUUACAGGGUUACCUUGGCAACUGGAGCUUGGACUAUCCACCAGCUGUUAGCUAAAAAGGCAUGGGUGUGCGUCCACAAGCGACUCGCCUAUAAUUCCCAGCCAAAAUCCUGCAAAUGCAUUGACAGGUUCCCAGAUUAUUGCCGAACAUCUCUGAUCCAAAUUAUGUCACUAACACCAAAAGGCAGCGUCCAUUUCUAUUAUAUUUUGUUUACUGCAGGGGAGCACAGUGGAGCAGUGGUGCAGUGAGGACAAUGAGACAGUCCUGGGUUCAAGCCCAUGAGCCGGCUGGGGUUUUCUCUGUGCCUCAGCUUCCCGUCACAAAGACAUGUACGUUAGGUUAAUAAACUACCUGUCAGGGUGUACCCUGCUUCUCACCAUGAUGGCUGGGAUUGGCUCCGGUCCCACUGUGUGAC
ensembl:lncRNA